rnacentral:rRNA from 1 species
CCAAUAGCGUAUAUUAAAGUUGUUGCAGUUAAAAAGCUCGUAGUUGAAUUUCGGGAUCAAUGGGUUGGUCAUGCCCUCGGUAUGUACUGAUUUCAUUGGUUCUCACCUUCUAAGGAACCAUGAUGUCAUUCGUUUGAUGUUGUGGGGAAUUAGGACUGUUACCUUGAAAAAAUUAGAGUGUUUAAAGCAGGCUAACGCUUGAAUACAUUAGCAUGGAAUAAUGGAAUAGGACAUCCGAUUCUAUUUUGUUGGUUUCUAGGAUCGAUGUAAUGAUUAAUAGGGAUAGUUGGGGGCAUUAGUAUUCAAUUGUCAGAGGUGAAAUUCUUGGAUUUAUUGAAGACUAACUACUGCGAAAGCAUUUGCCAAGGAUGUUUUCAUUAAUCAAGAACGAAAGUUAGGGGAUCGAAGACGAUCAGAUACCGUCGUAGCCUUAACCAUAAACUAUGCCGACUAGGGAUCGGAUGAUGCUUAUUUUUUAAUGACUCAUUCGGCACCUUACG